UUGCCGAGGCAGCCCGGCGAACGAGCGGAGAGAAUUCCGACGCCGAAGGGGGCGGGGCCAGAAGGAGGGGAUUGGAGAAAGUGGCAGUUAGAACAACCGCCGGAGGAGCUCGAGCGAAAGAUAACUGAUGGGAGCGAAACAGCCAAUCAGAAAAUGGAUGUUCCCGCCCCCCCCAUAAUAGCUUAGAAGGGGCGGGCUCCGGGAGACCGCAGGGACCAAGCGAGUGACACCCUAAUUGCCCAACGCUAGAGGGGGGGGGGUGGCUUUCCUUGCGCGGGAAGCGAAAGGCGAUUGGGUCUUGCGCAGAGGGGGCGGGACGAGUGAGCAGCCAAUUCGGAGUGAUUUGGCAACCCGGGCUUGGCGUUGCGUGUUUGCGAAGAGUUUUGUUUCGAAGCUGCGGCUUUUCGCGGGUGGUGAGUUUGGCUCAGGUGAAGAAGAGCUUGGAGGAAGUGUCCCACGUGGGGCUGUGCACCACUUGCGAUGCUACCGGUUUGCGUUUCCUCACUUCUGCAGCGCUUUCCUCUUCAGCAUGUUCAUUCGUAAGGCAGUCCUAUUGUUUUCAGGAGAGGUUACCCUCAAGUAAUUGUGGAUCGGAGUUUAGCGGGCUGCAUCCUCUCGACGCUUAUACAAUCCUGCGCGCAAAACCUACCGCCUUAAAAUGGAAGCCCCGCUGUAUGUUUUCAAGUCAACUCAGGAUUAUAGCUUUCUCAGCUGCAACUCAACUAUUUGGAGCUAACCCAGCUAUUUAGAGCCAAAUAAAUAAUAGCUAACCCAGCUAUUUAGAGCCAAAGCGUAUGCGUGCCUACUUAGAAGUAAAUCCCACUAAGUUCAGCGGGACUCACUCCCAGAUAUUAAAAGAACUCAGCCAGAUAAAAAAAAGUCAAGAUACCAAACCUCAGCUGACUGGAAAGAUAGCAUACAGUUACAGAUUGCAUCCUGAUUAAUAACAAGGGAGAAAAAAGUGUAGAAUGGGAGGAGUAUUUCCUCGUGAUAACUGAACAUAAAUUUGUUGAUGUAUGCCAGAAUCAGUGUCGUACUUUGUAAAGAACAAGGGAGAAGGCAUAUUUCCCUAAACGCCUGCCUGGAGGCAGUGAAGGGCUGGAUGAGAGAUAAAAACCAGUGGAGGCUGAAUCCAGAAAAGACAGAGUAUUUCAGAUAAAAUUGAGAAGAUAGAAAGUCACAGGUUGACCAAGUGAAAGUUGCAGAAAGAAGGAUUUGAUUGUCCAACCCAACAAGCUACUUCUGUCUGGCAAGUUCUCUUCUUCCGAGUCUCGUCUCAAGCGCCAGACUUUGAUAGUGUUGUCAUCUGAACAUGUGGCAAUCUGAAAAAUGACAUUGGGAGUCAGCUGGGAAGUGGUGCAUCUCCCCCACAGUGGAGCAUACGUCUCCCCUGUGGGCAGUGAAAGGCUUGAAACUGGCACAGGCUACAGAGGAGAUGUGAAAGACCUAUUCGAACAUUACGUUGCACCUGCGUUCAGAUGUCUGUGCACUCGCACAUGCUUGUGUGUGAACGACUGUACUUCUGCUCCUUUUAAAAGCGAACCUGUACUACUGUAUGUGCAUUCAACAUAAUGUGAAUAACUGCACCUGCAUACAAAUCUGUACCUGUAUAUAGUGUACACAGAUGAUAGGGGUGUUGAACAUCAUGUCCAAGCAGGGUGAUAGCUUCCCUGCUAACUGGGCAAAGAGGACUCUUUCAGGUGAUCAUUCUUUUAUAUACCGCAGAGGGAGAGAGAGCAGCUGGAAAUGUACAUAUCAGGCAGUAUAAAAAUAUGAUAAACAGACAAUUUUUGUUGUUGUUGAGAAGCAGCAUAUACUCUUAAUACUCUUUUAGGUUCUCCCACACCACCAUUUUAUUCUUAAAACAACCCUGGGAGGCUGAGGGGAAGAGCGAGCGAGCGAGAGCACAACCGUCUCAUGCACACUCAGCAGGUUUCACAGCUGUGUAGGAAAAUGAAACCAGGCCUCCCCAGGUCUAACCACCACACCACUCUGGCUCUUCAAUGGAAGAUUAAAGCUAGUUAACUUACCAAAUAAUAAUAACUAGCCGACCCACACAGAGCAUCUGUGCACUCUUCGGGGCCGGCUGUUCUCCCCUCCCUCCUGCCCCAUUCUCCCUCCCUCCCCCCAAAUCUCUUUUGCCUGCCCUCCCCCCCCGCCUAACUCCACGGCUGGGCCCGCCGCCGCCUGGCCAGGCCCACCACUGCCAUGGCGACCAAUGCUCCAGGGUGCGCCUCAGCCACCCAACCAAUCAGCUGGGUGCCAGGAUGCACAUUCCAAGGUUCACCCAAGAGAAUUAAAUAUGUAGAUAAUCACAUGACUCAAGAUUACAGCCUGGUGAAAGGAGGAGCCCAGUUUCAAAACUGCUCUGAGCCAUUUUCGAAUGGCGCUAUCAAAAAACAAACAAACACCAAAAUAAAUAAAUAAAUAAAAUGAGGGGCAUUCUGGAACAAGCUCAUGCAACUCAGUAAUAAAACCAUCCUAAUACCAGCUGACAUUGAUAUUGUGUUUGAGUGUUCAUAGUGCCUCACAUAAUUAUCUCA